rnacentral:rRNA from 1 species
UAUGGUAUAACUUAGUGGCAGACGGGUGAGUAAUGUAUAGGAAUCUACCUAGUAGUACGGAAUAAUUGUUGGAAACGGCAACUAAUACCGUAUACRCCCUACGGGGGAAARAUUUAUUGCUAUUAGAUGAGCCUAUAUUAGAUUAGCUAGUUGGURARGUAAUGGCUUACCAAGGCAAUGAUCUAUAGCUGAUCUGAGAGGAUGAUCAGCCACACUGGAACUGAGAUACGGUCCAGACUCCUACGGGAGGCAGCAGUGGGGAAUAUUGGACAAUGGGCGAAAGCCUGAUCCAGCCAUGYCGCAUGAGUGAAGAAGGCCUUUGGGUUGUAAAGCUCUUUYRGUGAGGAAGAUAAUGACGGUACUCACAGAAGAAGUCCUGGCUAACUCCGUGCCAGCAGCCGCGGUAAUACGGAGAGGGCUAGCGUUAUUCGGAAUUAUUGGGCGUAAAGRGCGCGUAGGCUGRUUARUAAGUUAAAAGUGAAAUCCCRAGGCUYAACYUUGGAAUUGCUUUUAAAACUGYUAAYCUAGAGAUUGAAAGAGGAUAGAGGAAUUCCUAGAUGUAGAGGUGAAAUUCGUAAAUAUUAGGAGGAACACCAGUGGCGAAGGCGUCUAUCUGGUUCAAAUCUGACGCUGAGGCGCGAAGGCGUGGGGAGCARACAGGAUUAGAUACCCUGGUAGUCCACGCUGUAAACGAUGAAUGUUAAAUAUGGGAAGUUUACUUUCUGUAUUACAGCUAACGCGUUAAACAUUCCGCCUGGGGACUACGGUCGCAAGAUUAAAACUCAAAGGAAUUGACGGGGACCCGCACAAGCGGUGGAGCAUGUGGUUUAAUUCGAUGCAACGCGAAAAACCUUACCACCU